rnacentral:lncRNA from 1 species
UACAAAAAAUGCAAAAAUGAGCCAGGCUGGUGGCACACUCCUGUAGUCCCAGUUACUUGGGAAGCUGAGGUUGGUAGAUUGCUUGCACCCGGAAUGUUGACGCUGCAGCGAACCGUGUUCACACCACUGCACUCCAGUCUGGGUGAUAAAGUGAGCCUCUGUCUCAAAAUGAAAAAGUCAGUGAUAUGGAUUGUUGUAUAAAAUGAAGAUUAAUUUAAAUUUACUAGAUUUAUCUCCCACCAUAAUUGAAAAUAACCUGUACAAAAUGUAUAUAUAUAUAAAAGCUGGCGGUGGGGGGGGGACCUUUUUUCCAAACUGUGAUCAGCAUUAGCCACCUGAAUUAACUUCUCAAGGAAGAUCGCACCAGCUUUAUUUUUUUUUUUACAUAAUUUUUUAUUGUGGUAAAGAAUGCAUAACAAAAUUUACCAUUUUAACCAUGUUUAAAUGUACAAUUAAGUGCCAUUCAUUACAUUCACAAUGUGUGUAACCAUCACCACUAUCUAUAAAGAGAGCUUUUUCAUCCUAAACAGAAACUGUACCCAUGAAGCAACUCCCUGUUCUCCCCUAUCCUCAGAACUUGGUAACCUCUAUUCUGCUUUCUGUCCCAAGGAAUUUCCCUAGUCUGCAUAUCCCCUGCAAAUGGAAUAAUACAGCAAGUCCUCUUAACAUCAUCGACGGGUUCUUGGAAACUGCGACUUUAAGCAAAACAACAUAUAAAGAAACCAGUUAUACCACAGGCUAAUUGACAUAAAUAACAGAUCAACACUGAUGUCAUUCAAGCAACAGCUAGAAGACCAACUCUGUCUCCGACUUAUUGAGUUGAAAUGCAUUUAUUUUUCCACUGUUAUGAAAAAAUGCAGAUUUUCCCCGAAGAAGCAUUUUUUUAAUUCAUCGCUUUUUCUUAAAGCCACGUGACAGAAAGCCAGGGCCCAGAUCCUAAGGAGAGGGACCAUCAUGGCACUGUCCAGAUCAGCUUCUUCCACAUGGGAGGGAAAAUGGCUGCUGACGGCUCCCAAGCCUCAAUCCCUUCACCCUUGCCACUGGCAAACUGCGGUUUAGGUUGCUGCCUUGGCAGUCCUGGCUGUCCUCACGGAAGAGCAUGUGAACCACGGACCUGGCUGUCUUUUUCAUUGGGUUGGCUCUGCGGUGCAGGCUGGCAGAUGAGCAUGUGAUGAGCCCGCCCUUGCUGGCCGUGCAAUUCGGCUCCUGUCAUGCUCUUGGCCAUUGAAUCGGCCUAAUGCAGCCCCUCAGCAGCCAGCCUGGUGUUCCCUGGGGCUGAGGAUCUAAUGUCAGCAGGGCAUGAUUCGAUUCACAUUAAAGAUGGAUAUUAAGUCUUUUUA